GACGAACGCUGGCGGCGUGCUUAACACAUGCAAGUCGAACGGAAAGGCCCUGCUUUUGUGGGGUGCUCGAGUGGCGAACGGGUGAGUAACACGUGAGUAACCUGCCCUUGACUUUGGGAUAACUUCAGGAAACUGGGGCUAAUACCGGAUAGGAGCUCCUGCUGCAUGGUGGGGGUUGGAAAGUUUCGGCGGUUGGGGAUGGACUCGCGGCUUAUCAGCUUGUUGGUGGGGUAGUGGCUUACCAAGGCUUUGACGGGUAGCCGGCCUGAGAGGGUGACCGGCCACAUGGGGACUGAGAUACGGCCCGGACUCCUACGGGAGGCAGCGGUGGGGAAUAUUGAACAAGGGGCGGAAGCCUGAUGCAGCAACGCCGGGUGGGGGAUGAGGGCCUUCGGGUGGUAAACCGCUUUCGCCUGGGACGAGGCGGGAGUGAGGGGAAUGGGUAAGGAAGCACCGGUUAAUUACGU
rnacentral:rRNA from 1 species